GCUCAGGGAGAAUCAAGUUUACUCAUGCAAGGAAUAUAGAAGGUUGGCCUUCAAGUGCAGCAAUUAAUCAGGAGGAUAAAUGGCAUUUGUGUCUCAGUUUGAAGGGUACUGAGAAUGGGCAGGAAAAUGAAGGCAAAGAUGAAGAUCAGCCAUGAUUGUUUUGAAUCGGGUCCAGGGCUGGAUGGAUAAUUCAGAUUCGCAAAGUAGCAUGUUUGUUUGCCACCACAAUGCGGACUAACAAAAGACGGUGAAAACAAGGUACUGAACCGCUUUGCGUACGUGAAACCCAAAGAACGACUGAAUCCGGGACAACGGCUAAUCAGAAAACCUGGGCUGGAUUCUCUUCUGAACUCGUUUCAAUCCAACAUUCUUUGCCAUCGACGUACCACAAUCUCUCUUCCUCUUUCACCCAGGAAAACUUUUUUUUAUUUUAAAAAAAGGGCUGACUUUACAAUGAACACGCUUUCCAAGUGGUAACAAUUAGGUUUAUUUUGUUAGCCUAGAGGAAUUAUAAGAAAGGGAACUCAUACCAGUUAAGAGAUUAGCACCAAUCUCCGUGAGGUUCUCUUCCCUCCACCCCCAGUUGCCCCGCCUUCAACACGCACCAAGCUCGCUUGUGGCGAGCGUCUGUGCGUUUCGCUAUUCACACCCACAAUGCUCACAGAGAAAAAAAACCUACCCAUCCGGGAUUAGCAACCUUAGGAAAAGGGGUAAAAAAAAGGGGAAAACUUAAUUGGACAGAUGAUCAAAGAAUAAAUAAACGGAACAUAAGCAAUUUAAGACAGUGAAAUUAAGCCCAAUGCCCUAAAACCAUUAUGGGGGGGGGGGGGAUAACAAACUGCUUUUUCCCCCCAACUAUAAAGAAAAAAAUUGCCCCACUUAUUUUAUAAAAAAUAGAGAGUUUGCGAUUUUGUUUUUGAUUUUGGGCAAAGUGGAUAAAAUUCCCUAAGGGAUUUCCCCCUGCCCCCAAGACUGCCCCCCCAAGCCCUCACGGGUUUACCCCCUUCGUUGCGGUACUAGCGCACGUCCGCCAUUAGAGAGCGACCGAAACAAUACGUGAGGGGGAUUAAAAAGGGAAAAAUAGAGGCGGGACAAGUGAAACUUUACUCAAUUAACCAUUAUUUCCACGAAUUGAAUCAUGUGGCUUCUUUUACAGGUUUUGGCCCCGAAACCCGCAUAACAAUUCAAGAAAAAAAAAGGUUAAAGCAGGCAGGGUUAAUAUCACA